rnacentral:lncRNA from 1 species
GAAGCUCCUCCAAGAACCUGCUUUUUCAGCCUCAAGACUUGGGACGUGAUCUGUGCACGCCGUGCUGAGCUGGUAAGGCAGAACCAGGAAGCUGCCAACUGGGACAUCACGUUGCUCUCUAAGCCAGGCACGUUUCUGACCCUGAGAUGGUGGAGAUCGGUGAUCCAACUGCACAGAAGGGACCUACAGCAUGUUCUUCUGAGACCUCACAAGCAUUUCCUCGUCCUUCUCAGGCUUUGCCCACACGGAAUGUGAACUUCAAUGUGUGUAUGUUCUGUAAAAUGUUUCUGUUUUCUCUUCCAAGCUAAGCACCAACGCUGUGAACUGGGAGCAAAGUCACCGCCACCUUCUGCCGAUUACCAGUGGCCAAGGCAGUGCCCAGACAUCGCAGUGCAGUCCCUGUCCCCAGCCUGAGCCAGGCACAGGCACAGAGAGGCUGUGGCACGCGGGAACUUGGCUCUCAGAGCUAUUCCCUCAAUCUGCACCAGCAUUUGUGAGCACAGCAUGCUCCCCAGCAGUCUGCCUCCCAUCCACGCAGCUGCCUCGCACACAGCCUGUGGAUGUCUGCAGCAGCCUGCCCAGGCUUGCAGCAUGGCACACUUGGCUGGC